UGAGUGGCGGACGGGUGAGUAACACGUGGGUAACCUGCCCAGAAGCAGGGGAUAACACCUGGAAACAGAUGCUAAUACCGUAUAACAGAGAAAACCGCCUGGUUUUCUUUUAAAAGAUGGCUCUGCUAUCACUUCUGGAUGGACCCGCGGCGCAUUAGCUAGUUGGUGAGGUAACGGCUCACCAAGGCGAUGAUGCGUAGCCGACCUGAGAGGGUAAUCGGCCACAUUGGGACUGAGACACGGCCCAGACUCCUACGGGAGGCAGCAGUAGGGAAUCUUCCACAAUGGACGCAAGUCUGAUGGAGCAACGCCGCGUGAGUGAAGAAGGGUUUCGGCUCGUAAAGCUCUGUUGUUAAAGAAGAACGUGGGUGAGAGUAACUGUUCACCCAGUGACGGUAUUUAACCAGAAAGCCACGGCUAACUACGUGCCAGCAGCCGCGGUAAUACGUAGGUGGCAAGCGUUAUCCGGAUUUAUUGGGCGUAAAGCGAGCGCAGGCGGUCUUUUAAGUCUAAUGUGAAAGCCUUCGGCUCAACCGAAGAAGUGCAUUGGAAACUGGGAGACUUGAGUGCAGAAGAGGACAGUGGAACUCCAUGUGUAGCGGUGAAAUGCGUAGAUAUAUGGAAGAACACCAGUGGCGAAGGCGGCUGUCUGGUCUGUAACUGACGCUGAGGCUCGAAAGCAUGGGUAGCGAACAGGAUUAGAUACCCUGGUAGUCCAUGCCGUAAACGAUGAUUACUAAGUGUUGGAGGGUUUCCGCCCUUCAGUGCUGCAGCUAACGCAUUAAGUAAUCCGCCUGGGGAGUACGACCGCAAGGUUGAAACUCAAAAGAAUUGACGGGGGCCCGCACAAGCGGUGGAGCAUGUGGUUUAAUUCGAAGCUACGCGAAGAACCUUACCAGGUCUUGACAUCUUCUGCCAACCUAAGAGAUUAGGCGUUCCCUUCGGGGACAGAAUGACAGGUGGUGCAUGGUUGUCGUCAGCUCGUGUCGUGAGAUGUUGGGUUAAGUCCCGCAACGAGCGCAACCCUUAUUACUAGUUGCCAGCAUUCAGUUGGGCACUCUAGUGAGACUGCCGGUGACAAACCGGAGGAAGGUGGGGACGACGUCAAAUCAUCAUGCCCCUUAUGACCUGGGCUACACACGUGCUACAAUGGAUGGUACAACGAGUCGCGAAACCGCGAGGUUUAGCUAAUCUCUUAAAACCAUUCUCAGUUCGGACUGUAGGCUGCAACUCGCCUACACGAAGUCGGAAUCGCUAGUAAUCGCGGAUCAGCAUGCCGCGGUGAAUACGUUCCCGGGCCUUGUACACACCGCCCGUCACACCAUGAGAGUUUG
rnacentral:rRNA from 1 species